rnacentral:rRNA from 1 species
UACAGGGGGUGCAAACGUUGCUCGGAAUCAUUGGGCGUAAAGCGCACGUAGGCGGUUUGUUAUGUCGGAUGUGAAAGCCCUCGGCUCAACCGGGGAAGUGCACCCGAAACUGCGGAACUAGAGUCUCGGAGAGGAUCGUGGAAUUCUCGGUGUAGAGGUGAAAUUCGUAGAUAUCGAGAGGAACACCGGUGGCGAAGGCGGCGAUCUGGACGGUGACUGACGCUGAGACGCGAAAGCGUGGGGAGCAAACAGG